UACGUAGGGGGCUAGCGUUGUCCGGAUUUAUUGGGCGUAAAGGGCGCGUAGGCGGCCCGGUAAGUCAAAGGUGAAAUCCCUCGGCUCAACUGAGGAACUGCCUUUGAAACUGUCGGGCUUGAGGCCGGGAGGGGGUAGCGGAAUUCCCAGUGUAGCGGUGAAAUGCGUAGAUACUGGGAGGAACACCAGUGGCGAAGGCGGCUACCUGGACCGGUUCUGACGCUGAUGCGCGAAAGCGUGGGGAGCAAACAGG
rnacentral:rRNA from 1 species